rnacentral:rRNA from 1 species
GAUGAACGCUGGCGGCGUGCCUAAUACAUGCAAGUAGAACGCUGAAGAGAGGAGCUUACUCUUCUUGGAUGAGUUGCGAACGGGUGAGUAACGCGUAGGUAACCUGCCUUGUAGCGGGGGAUAACUAUUGGAAACGAUAGCUAAUACCGCAUAACAAUGGAUGCCACAUGUCAUAUAUUUGAAAGGGGCUAUUGCUCCACUACAAGAUGGACCUGCGUUGUAUUAGCUAGUAGGUGAGGUAAUGGCCUACCUAGGCGACGAUACAUAGCCGACCUGAGAGGGUGAUCGGCCACACUGGGACUGAGACACGGCCCAGACUCCUACGGGAGGCAGCAGUAGGGAAUCUUCGGCAAUGGGGGCAACCCUGACCGAGCAACGCCGCGUGAGUGAAGAAGGUCUUCGGAUCGUAAAACUCUGUUGUUAGUCAAGAACAGGUGUGUGAGUAAAAGUUCACACUGUGACGGUAGCUUACCAGAAAGGCACGGCUAACUACGUG